rnacentral:tRNA from 1 species
ACUUAAAUAGCUUAAUAAGAGCAUAACGUUGAAGGUGUUGAAGUGAUAAUUAUAUCUUUAAGUG